GGCGGGAUGCCCGAGUGGCCAAAGGGAGCGGUCUGUAAAAUCGUCGGCUAAUGCCUACAGAGGUUCGAAUCCUCUUCCCGCCA
rnacentral:tRNA from 1 species